rnacentral:rRNA from 1 species
CCUACGGGGCGCAGCAGGCGCGAAAACUUCGCAAUGUGCGCAAGCACGACGAGGGAAUCCUAAGUCGCCCAGCUUAGCAUAGGCUGUUCUCCUGUCUAAAAAACAGGGGGAGUAAGGGCUGGGUAAGACGGG